AGAGUUUGAUCCUGGCUCAGGACGAACGCUGGCGGCGUGCCUAACACAUGCAAGUCGAACGGAGAAUUAGCAAUAAUUCUUAGUGGCGAACGGGUGAGUAACGCGUAGACAACCUACCCUUUAGAUGGGGACAACACCGCGAAAGUGGUGCUAAUACCGAAUAUUGCUUGAGAAGCGCAUGCUUUUCAAACUAAAGAUGGCCUCUAUAUAUAAGCUAUCGCUAAAGAAUGGGUCUGCGUCUGAUUAGCUAGUUGGUGAGAUAAAAGCUCACCAAGGCAACGAUCAGUAGCCGGUCUGAGAGGAUGAACGGCCACACUGGGACUGAGACACGGCCCAGACUCCUACGGGAGGCAGCAGUGGGGAAUCUUCCGCAAUGGACGAAAGUCUGACGGAGCAACGCCGCGUGAGUGAUGAAGGUUUUCGGAUCGUAAAACUCUGUUGUUAAGGACGAAUGUAUAGAUUGUGAAUAAUGGUUUAUAAUGACGGUACUUAACGAGGAAGCCACGGCUAACUACGUGCCAGCAGCCGCGGUAAUACGUAGGUGGCAAGCGUUGUCCGGAAUUAUUGGGCGUAAAGGGAGCGCAGGUGGGAAUGUAAGUCAAUCUUAAAAGUGCGGGGCUCAACCCCGUGAUGGGAUAGAAACUACAUUUCUUGAGUGCAGGAGAGGAAAGUGGAAUUCCUAGUGUAGCGGUGAAAUGCGUAGAUAUUAGGAGGAACACCAGUGGCGAAGGCGACUUUCUGGACUGUUACUGACACUGAGGCUCGAAAGCUAGGGGAGCGAACGGGAUUAGAUACCCCGG
rnacentral:rRNA from 1 species